rnacentral:lncRNA from 1 species
GCAGAAGAAGGAGAACAAGCCAAAGAAGGAUGUUUUGAAGAAGGUUGCAGUAAAAAAAAUAUAUUUUCACUGUGAUACUGCUCCUCCUUCGAGGAGAAACUAUCCGCUCUACCUGAAAAGCCUGAAGACCAAGAAGAGUGACACACCUUCGGAACGUAUGUCAAAUAUGCUCAUAAUUGAAUCUAACCUAAUGGUUUCUUCUACUUCUAGUUGGGUAUUGGACUCUAGUUCUAGUGCUCAUAUAUGUACUUCAAUACAAGAUCUAAUAGAAAGUAGGAGAUUGAGAAAAAAUGAUAUAA